AUGCCCUGGAGGACACAGACCCUGGACCCUGAGAGGAAGGGGAGGGGUGGCAGGUGCCAGACUAGGAUUGCUGUCUGGGCCACGACCCCCGGUCCCCUGGCAAGGGCACCGCUGGUCCUUCCUUCCACCCCAGCCCAGAAGUCUCCAGGCAGUGCCCCUUCCAGGCGACGCCUGCAGUCCUGCUGCCUGCCGACCCCGAAGCGGGAAGCAGCGCCGGAGGGCGAAGCAAAGGCCACGUGCUUGCUUUUAGAAAAGUACCCGCGUGGCCUGGGAGCGACAGAGGCCCACGCCCCCGGGGGUCAGGUGGGGCGAUACUCCCUUUCUCCUUUGCACUUUUCUAGGCUUUCCCAGUGUUCCUGCAGGGAGUGUCUAUUUGUUGAGUCUUUGCCUUUUUUCCAGUUGAGGUUAUGUUCACAUAACACGCACUUAGUAUGUAAAGUGUGCAACUCAGUGGCGUCCGUGCACUCCCAGUAUUGUGCAAACACCAGCCCUCGCUCGUCUCAGAACUUCUUCACCACCCCGUAAAGACCCUCCCCGGAUCCGAGACGUCGUCGCGCCCCGUUUCUCGCUCCCGAAUCCUCCGGGAAUGGCUGACCCGCGCCGCCCCCGUGGACCCGCCUCGUCCGGGUCUGCCACGUGAAAAGCACCCGGGGAGGGGGGCCGGCGGCCUUUGAGUCUGGCUGCUUUCACGCUGCAGUGUCCUCAGGUCCACGCACGUUGCCUCUGCCCCUUCACUCCCUUUAGGGGUGAACGCCAACCCACAGUUGGAGGUCCAGUUCUCCGUGGACAAUGGGGUCAUUUCCCCCUUUUGGAGAUUGUCAGUAACGUGUCUAUGAACAGGAAAGGUUUUUAGUUUUGCUUUGUUUCGUUAUUGCCUUUUUUUCUUUUGGUCUUUUUAGGGCCACACCUGCGGCGUAUGGGGGUUCCCAGGCUAGGGGUCCAAUCAGAGCGGUAAGUGCUGGUCUACACCACAGCCACAGCCACAGCCACGCGGGAUCUGAGCCACCUCUGCGACCUACACCACAGUUCAUAGCAACGCGAGAUCCUCCACCCACUGAGCGAGGCCAGGGAUCGAACCUGAGUCCUCACGGAUGCUCGUCAGGUUCUUUAACCACUGAGCCACGAGCCAUGAUGGGAACUCCCCGUUUUUGUCUUUUCAGGGCCACAUGUGCAUCCUAUGGAAGUUCCCAGGCUAGGGGUCAAAUUGGAGCUGCAGCCACCGGCCUACACCACAGCCACAGCGAUGCAGGAUCCGAACCGCAUGUGCAACCUACACGGCAGCUCACGGCAACGCCGGAUCCUUAACCCACUGAGCGAGGCCAGGGGUCAAACCUGGGUGCUCAUGGAUCCUGGUCAGACUCAUUUCCACUGAGCCAACCCAGGGACUCCCCUGCUGCACCCUUGUAGGUUCCCAGCAGCACACGGGCAAGUUUCCGUUUUAGAAAAAUCAAACCAUCUCAACAGGCGCGAAGCGGUCUCGCAUUCUCAUUUUGAUUCGCAUUUCCCUUGUGACCAGUGACAGUGCAUCUUUUCCGGAGUUCGCUGGCCACUUGCACAUCAUCUUUGGGGAAAUGUCUCUUCAAGUCCUAGACCAUUGUUUAAAUUCGAUGAUCUUUUCUGGCUGAGUUUCCUCUGUGUUCUGGACCCUAUCAGAUGCAUGUUCCUGGGCCUCUUUGCCUUUCACCCUCUGACUCUGCCCCUUGAUGCAGAAGGCGUUUGUCUCUCUGGUUGCUGUGUCUUCCGUGUCACAGCUCAGAAGCCAUUGCCUUGAAGACUUACCACACGUUUUCUUCCAAGGAUGUUUGGGUCUCGCUCCUUGGGUUUAGGUUGUCGAGCCUUGAGGAGACAUUUGUGUGUGACGUGAGCUCGGAUCAGACUUCAUUAUUUGGCAGCUGGAGACCCACUCAUCUCAGUGCCGUUUGUUAAUCUAUUACUUUCACAACUACGAAAAUAAGUUAAAAAAAAAGCCUGUCCUGGAGUUCCCGUCGUGGUGCAGUGGUUGGCGGAUCCAACUAGGAACCAUGGGGUUGCGGGUUCGAUCCCUGGCCUUGCUCAGUGGGUGAAGAAUCCGGCGUUGCCAUGAGCUGUGGGGUAGGUUGCAGACGCAGCUUGGAUCCCGCGUUGCUGUAGCUCUGGCGUAAGCCGGCAGCUACAGCUCCGUUUGGACCCCUAGCCCCGGAGCCUCCAUAUGCUGNAAAAAAAAAAAAAAAAAAAAAAAAAAAAAAAAAAAGCCUGUCCCUGUAUUUAAAUUGGAGUAGGCAUUGCAGGACAGAGGCCUCCCUUGGGUCCAGAGGCUGCCGCAGGCUCCCCUUCCUACUCCCAGAGCCGCAAAGCCCUGCCCCCACCCUUGUCCUCUCCAGCCUGUGGGCCACAGGGGGCCGAUGAGCAGCCUCGAGCCGGAGGCCCUACUGAUGGAUGUGGAGCAGAAGGCCACUCGCCUAGGGAGGCCAGGCCAGGUCAGGCCAUGCAAGAGACCCAUCUCUCCCUGGGAUCAGGCUGGGCAGGUGGGCCGGUGGGUGGGGGCACAGCCCUUGGCUCUCAGCCCAACCUCUUGGCCUGGAGGCUGGAUAGGGCAAGCCCCUAGGGUUUGGGCUCUCCCUGCCCCCACCUGCUGCCCCAGGCCCUCAGACCCAGUCCUCUUCAUCCACUCCCCGCCGGCGACGCUAGGGCUCUGUUGCCCCUGCUCCAUCCCGAGCUGGGGGCUGAGGGCAGGAGGGGGUCAGGGCUCCCUCUGCCCCUCCUCAGAGCCCGGCUAGGUCCUGGGGUGGGCCUGGGACCUGGGGGUGCGUGGGUCAGGGUGGGAACUGUCCUUUCGUGCUGCUCACCAGCCGGAGCCUCCCACCUCCCUCUUUGCUCCCUGUGUCCACACCCCUCCUCUCCCUGAGGCCUCCUGGACCUUCCAGCCAUGGGCCCCACUGCCCACGCCUCCCCUCCUGCCGGAAGCCGCCCAGGUCAGGCGCCCAGCAGACAGCCGCUCUGCUGGCUUCCUACAGGCCCGUUCUUCCUCGGGGUCUCCUCCCCGUGCACC
rnacentral:lncRNA from 1 species